CAGCCGCCACGGUAAUACAGAGGGUGCGAGCGUUAAUCGGAUUUACUGGGCGUAAAGCGUGCGUAGGCGGCUUCUUAAGUCGGAUGUGAAAUCCCUGAGCUUAACUUAGGAAUUGCAUUCGAUACUGGGAAGCUAGAGUAUGGGAGAGGAUGGUAGAAUUCCAGGUGUAGCGGUGAAAUGCGUAGAGAUCUGGAGGAAUACCGAUGGCGAAGGCAGCCAUCUGGCCUAAUACUGACGCUGAGGUACAAAAGCAUGGGGAGCAGACAGGAUUAGAUACCCGAGUAGUCCCUGUCUCUUAUAC
rnacentral:rRNA from 1 species